GCGAAAUUCCUUGUCGGGUAAGUCCGACCCGCACGAAAGGUGCAACGACUUGGGCACUGUCUCAACGAGAGACCCGGUGAAAUUAUACUAUGCGUGAAGAUGCGCAUUACCCGCGACAGGACGGAAAGACCCCGUGGAGCUUUACUGUAGCCUGAUAUGGAAUGUUGGUACAGCUUGUACAGGAUAGGUGGGAGCCUUAGAAACCGGAGCGCUAGCUUCGGUGGAGGCAUCCGUGGGAUACCACCCUGGCUGUAUUGACAUUCUAACCCAGAACCGUUAUCCGGUUCGGAGACAGUGUCAGGUGGGCAGUUUGACUGGGGCGGU
rnacentral:rRNA from 1 species